rnacentral:rRNA from 1 species
GAUGAACGCUGGCGGCGUGCCUAAUACAUGCAAGUCGAGCGAAUGGAUUAAGAGCUUGCUCUUAUGAAGUUAGCGGCGGACGGGUGAGUAACACGUGGGUAACCUGCCCAUAAGACUGGGAUAACUCCGGGAAACCGGGGCUAAUACCGGAUAACAUUUUGAACCGCAUGGUUCGAAAUUGAAAGGCGGCUUCGGCUGUCACUUAUGGAUGGACCCGCGUCGCAUUAGCUAGUUGGUGAGGUAACGGCGCACCAAGGCAACGAUGCGUAGCCGCACUGAGAGGGUGAUCGGCCACACUGGGACAGAGACACGGCCCAGACUCCUACGGGAGGCAGCGGUAGGGAAUCUUCCGCAAUGGACGAAAGUCUGACGGAGCAACGCCGCGUGAGUGAAGAAGGCUUUCGGGUCGUAAAACUCUGUUGUUAGGGAAGAACAAGUGCUAGUUGAAUAAGCUGGCACCUUGACGGUACCUAACCAGAAAGCCACGGCUAACUACGUGCCAGCCGCCGCCGUAA